UACGUAGGGGCAAGCGUUGUCCGGAAUCAUUGGCGUAAAGCGCGUGUAGGCGGCCAGAAAAGUCCGCUGUGAAAACUCGAGGCUCAACUUCGAGCUGUCGGUGGAAACUUUCUGGCUAGAGUCCGGAAGAGGAGAAUGGAAUUCCUGGUGUAGCGGUGAAAUGCGCAGAUAUCAGGAAGAACACCCGUGGCGAAGGCGGUUCUCUGGGACGGUACUGACGCUGGAGACGCGAAAGCGUGGGGAGCGAACAGG
rnacentral:rRNA from 1 species